GGAAAUUUCCUCUGGAAACCAGCUUUGUUCCAAAGUUCAGGCAAAUAAAAUGACUCUUAAAUGUGCCGACAGGACGAGGAAGUCUCAAGUUGGACUGGGUGCAACAUGAAGAAAGGAGCCCUGAAAACCGGGUGGUGAAUGAAAACCUUGCAGGAUCCUUGGAAUAAUGGUUGCAGCAUGACAAAUAUCUUUAAAAGAAACAAACAUAAAUUAAAAACCCAAUGCAUGCCUGUUUCCCUCCCGUCUGGAGUUACCAGGGGAGGGCUAGCCUAAACGACCACGGAGGAGGAAUGUCUUUUUCCUACAAUAAAAGAGAAAAGGCGGGGAAAAAAAAAAAAAAAAAAAAAAAAAAAAAAGAAAA